UUAUGACGAUUGCGAUGACAUGGCCUCGUCUCCAACUCUCGGCGAGUCCGCGUACGUGCAGGAGGAAACACGUGCUGACAAAACUCCGCGUUUAUGACGUCUGAGCGGAGUCCCUCGGUGACGACGGUCCCUACUUAAGGAACUUCUAUACCUCCAUCCACCGAAUAAGCAAUCCAGAAUUUUUGGCGCUUCUCGUCUCGUCCCGAAAUAGUCCACUGGAGGAUCCUCACCCGCGUGAAGCCUUUCUCCGUUCGCGGUGUCACCAUGUCGCCUCUUGUUCUGAUGGUCGCCACCCUCGCGACCUUCUUAAACUCGAAUGCUUCUUCACCUGUGAGGCUGGUCAACUCUGACAACCGCUGCUCUGGACGGGUUGAGGUCCAUCAUAAUGGACAAUGGGGAACUGUGUGUGACGACGGAUGGGACUUUAGAGCGGCCAAUGUGGUGUGCAGACAGUUGAAGUGUGGCAAGGCUCAUUCCUAUUUAACCAGCGCAGCUUUUGGGAAAGGCACUGGCCCCAUUUGGAUGGAUGAUGUCCGUUGUUCUGGACAGGAAACUUCAAUAACAAGCUGCAAACACCGUGGUUUUGGGGUCCACGACUGUUAUCACAAGCAGGAUGUCAGCAUUAAAUGCUCAGGUGAACUCAAGAUUUCGCACCUUGUUUGUGGCCAUGACAAAAUUAAAGUGGGCCUGGAUUAUGAUAGCGUAAAUCAAUCUGGUUAUAACCCAAUCUCUGGCAACCUGGCAGUCCGCAACUGUGCCCUGGUCACGGUACAAGACAAUCUUGUAUGGUACGAAGCUGAUGGCCAGGCACAUGCUUGUGGAAACACACUGACGACCAACAGCACACAUGCAAUCUACUCCAAUAGCUUAUUUGUCUACCCUUUGAAGCAAGGCUUCUCUAUUCCUGUAAGUCUUCCUUUCUCAUGUGCCUAUCCCCUGGUCACAGAAAGCCUGCUGUUCAUCAAACCAUCCAUGAAUCUGGAAGGAGGCAUUGUUGCCUCUGGUGACAAAGCCAUGGCCUCUAUGAUCCUGUUCCGGAACUCCAACUUUACUGAGCUUUAUCCAGCGGGUGCUGUCCUUCCAGUGGGUUCACCAUUGUAUGUUGGGGUCUCUGUGCUCAAAGAUCCCAGUUUGGCAGUUGUCUUAGAGGACUGCUUCGCUUCUCAUUCAUCAAACCCUGACUACCCGGAGCAAUACUCUCUUAUCCACAACAAAUGUUCCGCUGACCGCCAACAAGUGUUUGUGGUUGAGAAUGGUUCAUCCAUGCGGGCUCGUUUUACUGCCCUAUUCUUCCUUAUUGAUGGAGAACACAGAGGUGUCUACCUCCACUGUAGACUCAGCCUGUGUGACCCAAGGAGUGACUCAUGCAUUCCGCCUUGCACGAGGAGCGUACGACGCUCUGUUUCAAAUUCCGCUCCAAUGAACCCCCCGCUUACCAUCGGUCCAAUCACUUGGGGCAAAUCAUCUGAGUGAAAUCCAGUAAAAAUGACGUCUUUUUUUAACAAGGAAACCAGCGAAUCAGCUCCUUUAUUCUCUGAGGUGCUGGCAGUGGCGCAUUUACGCAUGCAACCCGAGAUACACACAUGGGAGACGUCAGGAGAGCGGUAAAAAAACAGCGAAGAACAACAGGUUUCAUUUUUUUUUUUUUUUUUUUUUUGCGAAGAAAUGCAACAGGGGGAGCAACGUUUGGUGAAGAAAGAGGCCUAUGUCCUUGAGACUGCUGUGGAGAUGCUGGAGUCCAGUGCGGUCAUAGGGUGCCACCGCAGAGUGCCAGCAUAGGGUGCCAACGCUACAAACUGUCAAAGGAGCAUUGCCUGGAUAUGUGACACAUGCAAUGUGAGCAUGUGUCUCCAGUCAGAGAGGAACUGCUACUGGCAGUUCCACCAAGGCCUCUGAGAAAUCAGAUUUUAUAUACAGUCUAUAUAACUAUUGGGCUCCUAUAUAACACC